AGGAGCGGCUGCUAYUGGGGUGAUUAAAUAGUUCUCGCAGCCUUUCUGCCACACUUGGACUGCUCCCUGGGGUGAUGCUCGUGUCCGAGGAGGAAGCUGCAUUUCGCCAGCAAGCCGAGCAGAGCUUUGAAUCAUUCCAGCUGCCUGCUUGUUUUGAAAAGGACAGUCUGGGUAUAAAUAAAAUGUGACUGUGCUGGUAGAGUUCAGUUACUGGGGGCUGGCGCAAGAGGAGCCUUCCUGGGAUACUGUUCAGACAGCUGAUGUGGACUGAAAACUCUCUGUAGUUUGCCUGGAGCCAUGCGAAGAGAUUUGAAUAGCAGAUGCCUCUUUCCUGCACACUAAGAAAAGAAAUUCUUCGCUAGCUCAUAAAGCUCAUAAAGCCCGGGAGAUCCAGCAGGACCACACUGUGAAGGAAAAAUAUGCAGUUUUAGAUCUGCUUGCCUGCUAUUCCCUUCUGUUGCAGAAGUGGAUGGAGAAAUUCAAUAAUGCUAGGGGUCCUCCUCACUGGCUAUUGGCAACUGCUGCAUUCUGAGAAAGUCUCUUUCAAUUUAGCUUUCCAGAUCCUUUGGCUUCCACCUCCCACAACUUUAUAACCUCCUCAAGAGUUUCAUAAAUGCACUGCAAUGGUCACAUGAAGAGCUCUGUGGGGCAAUCAGCACCUUGGCGUCUCMUAGUUACUAUGGCACUUUAGGAAGAGAGACACCAAAAAGCAGCAAGUCCGACAGCAGUUGAGAGCCUGGCAAAACAUGAAUCUUACGGUGAGACUUCGCCGUAGUUUCAGAACCCUCGUAAUCCUCCUGGCUACGUUCUGCCUGGCAAGCAUUGCUAUCUCUGCCUACUACCUGUACACGGGCUACAAGCAGCAAAUGGCCCUUGUGGAAACCACUGGAGAAGCCGAAUGUGAAGAUCUUAAACUUUUACCAUACAGAUYCGUGGAGCUGAAAACUGCUAAGCCAAUUGACCCAUCUAAAACUGACCCCACUGUCCUUUUGUUUGUAGAAAGCCAGUAUUCMCAGCUGGGGCAAGACAUCAUAGCUAUCCUCGAGUCCAGCCGUUUUCCCUACCACAUGGUCAUUGCGCCUUCCAAGGGGGAUAUUCCCCCUCUCACAGAGGGUGGGAAAGGAAAAUAUACAAUUGUUAUAUACGAGAAUAUUUUAAAAUAUGUGUCCAUGGACUCAUGGAAUAGAGAGCUUCUAGAAAAAUACUGUGUGGAAUACAGUGUUAGCAUAAUUGGUUUUCAUAAAGCCAAUGAGAACAGCUCACCAACGACAAAAUUAAAAGGACUUCCGUUACAUCUUUACAAUAACAUAGCCCUAAAAGACUGUUUUAUAAAUCCUCAGUCUCCACUACUGCGCAUUACCAAAGCACCAAGGGUCGAGAAAGGUCCCCUGCCUGAUGAAGACUGGACAGUUUUCCACUUCAACCAUUCCACCUACCAACCUAUCCUUUUAGCAGAACUGCAAACUUCCAGACCAUUGCCAGCAGUAUUGCCAAAGGCUGCUCUAUAUGCAACAGUCAUUCAGGACCUGGGCCUUCACGAUGGGAUUCAGAGAGUCCUUUUUGGAAACAACUUGACCUUCUGGUUGCACAAGCUGAUCUUUAUUGAUGCCAUCUCCUUCCUGUCUGGAAAAAAGCUCACACUGUCCUUGGAUAGGUACAUCCUUGUGGACAUAGACGACAUCUUCGUUGGGAAGGAGGGAACAAGGAUGAAUGUCAACGAUGUGAAGGCUUUACUAGAGACUCAAAAUUUACUGCGCACUCAGGUUGCAAAUUUUACCUUCAACCUUGGAUUUUCAGGAAAAUUUUACCACACAGGCACAGAAGAGGAAGACAAGGGUGAUGAUUUGUUGUUGAAGUCAGUUGAUGAGUUUUGGUGGUUUCCCCAUAUGUGGAGUCACAUGCAGCCUCACCUCUUCCAUAAUGAGUCAUCCCUGGUGGAGCAGAUGAUCCUCAACAAAGAGUUCGCACUGGAUCACGGGAUACCGACAGACAUGGGGUACGCGGUGGCUCCGCACCACUCGGGAGUCUACCCGGUCCACAUGCAGCUCUACGAGGCCUGGAAGAAGGUGUGGGACAUCCGCGUGACCAGCACGGAAGAGUACCCGCACCUGAAGCCCGCACGGUACAGACGGGGCUUCAUCCACAAUGGCAUCAUGGUGCUGCCUCGACAGACCUGUGGCCUUUUCACUCAUACAAUUUUUUACAAGGAAUACCCUGGGGGUCCUCAGGAACUGGACAAAAGUAUCCAAGGAGGUGAACUCUUCCUCACCGUUCUCCUGAAUCCUAUCAGCAUCUUCAUGACCCACCUGUCCAACUACGGGAACGACCGCCUGGGGCUCUACACCUUUGCCAACCUGGCCGCCUUUGUGAAGAGCUCCACCAACCUGCGGCUGCGGACGCUGCCGCCGCUGCAGCUGGCACACAAGUACUUCCAGCUCUUCCCUGAGCAGACCGACCCUCUCUGGCAGAACCCGUGCGACGAUAAGCGACACAGAGACAUUUGGUCCAGAGAUAAAACUUGUGACCACCUGCCCAAAUUCCUUGUCAUAGGACCUCAGAAAACAGGAACAACAGCACUUUAUCUAUUUCUUCUGAUGCAUCCUUCCAUCAUCAGUAACCUCCCUAGCCCCAAAACUUUUGAAGAAGUUCAGUUCUUCAAUGGAAACAACUAUCACAAAGGAAUUGACUGGUACAUGGAUUUCUUCCCUGCUCCCUCCAACGCCACCACUGACUUGCUCUUCGAGAAAAGCGCCAACUACUUCCACUCAGAGGAAGCUCCUCGACGAGCUGCUUCCCUCAUCCCCAAGGCCAAGAUCAUCACCAUCCUCAUCGACCCAUCCGACCGGGCGUACUCCUGGUACCAGCACCAGAGAUCCCACGAGGACCCCGCUGCCCUCAAAUUCAAUUUCUACGAAGUGAUCACGUCAGGCCAGUGGGCGCCCUCCGAGAUACGGACCCUGCAGAAGCGCUGCCUGACCCCCGGCUGGUAUGCUAUCCACAUCGAAAGGUGGCUGGCACACUACCCUGCCUCACAGUUGCUAAUCAUUGAUGGACAGCAGCUCAGAAGUGACCCAGCUUCUGUGAUGGAUGAAGUGCAGAAGUUUCUUGGCGUCUCUCCUCAUUACAAUUACUCUGAAGCUCUAACAUUUGACCCUCAGAAAGGGUUUUGGUGCCAGUUACUGGAAGGAGGGAAAACAAAGUGCCUGGGAAAAAGCAAAGGUCGAAAAUACCCGCCAAUGGAUCAAGAGUCUCGAGCUUUUCUGUCAAGCUACUACCGAGACCACAACGUGGAACUGUCCAAGCUGCUGCACAGACUGGGCCAGCCGCUGCCGUCGUGGCUGAGGCAGGAGCUGCAGAAAGCGAGGUAGCACUGACCCGCACAGCACCAAAGCCUCCAAGGACCAUUUCCUUCACAUAAAACCCUGCGCUUCUCCAACUCACUUGUGAUCGUCAGUAGAGGACCUCAUGAAUAACGCUCUUUCUAUAAAAAAAAAAAUAAAUAAAUAAAAUUAAAAAAAAGUAAAACUGUUUAUGUGCACGCGCUGACGGUUAUUAGCAUCGACUCCUUUUGUCAGCCUCCAGGAAAUAAUAGAGACUUAUAUGGCAUUAUUUUGUAUCCAAACUGGGAUUUGUGCAUAGUCUAGUCCCUCUGUUUGCCAGAAAGUACCAGAAACUGUGUGUAGGACUGAUAGGCCUCGGUGUCUAUGACCAGUUGCAGUCUGUCAGGACACAACAAGCAAAGGAUGGGAACAUCUCUCCUUGGAUUAUGAGCUGCAGGCCGGUGCCGUGGAGCUGCGUGGCCGGCUGAGCUGCAGCACRGUGAGGUGACUUCUCCUCGUGGAUCUCCAAGCUCUCCGUGAAACCCCGACUGCCAUUUUCACCUGGCUGCUUUGCCACCUUGAUAGUGGGUUUUGCUGGGUUCCUGCAGAACCUGUGGUAGAGCACUGACAUGUGAAAUUAUGUGAAAUAGCUUGUCAUAAUGCCAUGACAAUCGUUAUAAUAUUAUCAAAACAGUUAAAAAAAAAAAUCUAGGCCGGUCAUCAGAGCAGUGUACUGACAAAAAUGUUGAUGCUUUUGUUUCUGUCCUGGAAGCAGUGUUUUCACUCCAAAGCCUUCAAAAUAGGAGAUGGGGUUAGUCAUUCAGAGUAUUGUCUUAAAGCCAUUUUGGAAUAAAGUUUUAAAAGAGUUCAAUGGCCAAGGGCAUUUAUUAAAGUUUUGGAGAACCUCCAGCCUGCUGAAGAAGCCUCUUUCUACAGACUUUCACAGAGCUGAACAGACAAGCAUAUCUACCAUAUACAUAUGAUAUAUGCAUUUUUAUGCUGGUACAUUUACAUACUAUAUAUCUGAUUCAGACAUACACUUAGUUUUAUGUAUCCACAUAAAACAUAUGUUUAGAGACCAUCUUCUUAAGUGUGCACAUGACUUCAYUGCAGGUUCAAUGAUAUUAACCUGCAAUGAUAUUGAAGAGCUGUAAAUCAUGCUCAGGAAACCAGUGCAAAUUAGAAAAAAAAAUAGCAUGGGCACACAAGGGAAUAUGGAAACAUGGGAGCCUGAGAAAGACAGUGUUGCCCACUCUCAUAUUCUCCUGUACAUAUUGUAGUGGGAUUUGUCUCACUUAAAUGAGGCAUCUGCCUCUGAAAGGUGUAUUUAGACUUAUUUCGUAGCUGAUACAGAGAAAUAUCACCUGUAAGACACA